UCCAACUAUCGUCCUAUCUCGCUACUGCCUUUUGCAUCCAAGAUCCUUGAAAAAAAUUGUGUAUGCGAGAUUGACAGACUUCCUCGAGUCCAACUCUCUGCUAGACCCGCUUCAGUCUGGUUUCCGCACUAAGCACUCUGUGGAAACGGCACUGACCAAAGUAUCCAAUGAUCUACUCACUGCAAAAUCUCGUGGUCACUACUCUAUCCUAAUUUUCCUUGACCUGUCUGCGGCUUUUGACACUGU